GCAAGCAAAUCAAAACAAUUUUCACUCACUCUCUCCCCCCUGUCCCAUGUUCCCCUCACUCUCUCAUCUCUCUCUCUAAAUUCCUCCAUUGAUCACCAUUAGAGAAGACCUUGAAAGCUUCAUAAAUCUCUUCUAUGAUAUUAUUCCCCAUUGAAAUCAACCCCUAAACACUCUAUAUACUUGAAUUCAAGAAGAUUGGUAGAGAUUGAGCUUGGAGUUUAGAGAGAAGAAAUUUUCAUUUCUCUCAAAAUCUUUGAGAUUUUGUUACCCAAAAGUCUUGAAGAUUUUAUGGCCUAAUCGGAAUCGCCCCGUGGUCAAUGGUUCCGGCCCGGAUCGUUGACCACGGGCCGGUUCCAAAACCGGAACCGCCAAUAGCCUCAAGUUGGUUAAGAUUCCAAAAUUCUUGACCCGCGACCCGGCGGUUCGGCCCGAAAACCGACGGGCUUGGCGCGCCAGGGCUAGGAGGCACCUUUUGAGGGCUCCGAGGUAGAAAUCGCCGGUUUUGGGCGGUUAACCGACGGUUUCGGUCAAAAUUUAAUUUAUUUUUUUUCAUAUUCAAAUUCAGAUUUAUCCCAUCCAAUUUUAUCUAUAAAUACCCCCCUUCUUCCACCUUCAAAACCAUCCCAUGGUGUUAACAAUUCUACACGAAAGAUAUAGUGUCUUAUUCAUUUCAUUGUA